UACAGCCACAGCACGUUGAAACACCGGUUCCCGCACAAUCACCGACGUUAAGCAACAUCUAGUCUGGUCAGUACCUAGAUGGGUGACCACUUGGGAAUACCAGUUGCUGUAA
rnacentral:rRNA from 1 species